AAAUCAGUCAAAACUUUCAACAAUGGAUCUCUUGGUUCCGGCAUCGAUGAAGAACGCAGCGAACUGCGAUAAGUAAUGUGAAUUGCAGAAUUCAGUGAAUCAUCGAGUCUUUGAACGCACAUUGCGCCCCCUGGCAUUCCGGGGGGCAUGCCUGUCC
rnacentral:rRNA from 1 species